UAACCUUUAGCCACAAACAAGUAUUAAAGGCAACGCCUGCCCAGUGAAUAAUUAAACGGCCGCGGUACCCUAACCGUGCAAAGGUAGCAUAAUCAUUUGUCUAUUAAUUGUAGACCUGUAUGAAAGGCAAAAUGAGGGUUUAACUGUCUCUUAUAGUAAAUCAAUGAAACUGAUCUCCUAGUUAAAAAGCUAGAAUAAUCCCAUAAGACCAGAAGACCCUGUGAAGCUUAAACUAAACUAUUAAACCAUAUAAUAGCUACUUUCGGUUGGGGCGACCUUGGAAAAAAAAAGAACUUCCAAACACAAUGACCAUAAAUCACUACACACGGCCCACAAGCCCAUAAACCUAGACCCAGCAAAGCUGAUAAUUGAACCAAGUUACUCCAGGGAUAACAGCGCCAUCUUCUUCAAGAGUCCAUAUCAAAAAGAAGGCUUACGACCUCGAUGUUGGAUCAGGACAUCCUAAUGGUGCAGCCGCUAUUAAGGGUUCGUUUGUUCAACGAUUAACAGU
rnacentral:rRNA from 1 species